CGCUAUCACCAGGUGAAGUUGUCAUAUUCAAGCCUUCACUAUUCUACAUAUUUCCUUACCAUUUUUAUACUUGCCUCAUUGAUGACUUGAGUAUCAAAACCAUUGCACCAAAUAACCUAACCUAUACUUCCCCCAUGUUAUUUUGAUGUUGAACAAAUUAAGAUUAAUUUGUCUAUUUAGGGAUUUUAGGAUAAAAACCAAGAUAUUAUACCUAGUCUUUCUUAGAGACCCU
rnacentral:lncRNA from 1 species